GAUGAACGCUGGCGGCGUGCCUAAUACAUGCAAGUCGAGCGAACAGACGAGGAGCUUGCUCCUUUGACGUUAGCGGCGGACGGGUGAGUAACACGUGGGUAACCUACCUAUAAGACUGGGAUAACUUCGGGAAACCGGAGCUAAUACCGGAUAAUAUUUCGAACCGCAUGGUUCGAUAGUGAAAGAUGGCUCUGCUAUCACUUAUAGAAGGACCUGCGCCGUAUUAGCUAGUUGGUAAGGUAACGGCUUACCAAGGCAACGAUACGUAGCCGACCUGAGAGGGUGAUCGGCCACACUGGAACUGAGACACGGUCCAGACUCCUACGGGAGGCAGCAGUAGGGAAUCUUCCGCAAUGGGCGAAAGCCUGACGGAGCAACGCCGCGUGAGUGAUGAAGGUCUUCGGAUCGUAAAACUCUGUUAUUAGGGAAGAACAAACGUGUAAGUAACUGUGCACGUCUUGACGGUACCUAAUCAGAAAGCCACGGCUAACUACGUG
rnacentral:rRNA from 1 species